rnacentral:rRNA from 1 species
GUCUUUUUGAUUAAUAAUUUAAAGUCUAAUCUGCCCACUGAUAAUAUAUUAAAGGGCUGCAGUAUUUUGACUGUACAAAGGUAGCAUAAUCAUUAGUCUCUUAAUUGGUGACUUGUAUGAAGGAUUUGAUGAAAUAUAUACUGUCUCUUUUUAAUUUAUAAAAUUUAAUUUUUUAGUUAAAAAGCUAAAAUAUUUUUAAAAGACGAGAAGACCCUAUAGAGUUUUAUAUUUGUGUAAAUUAAGAUUUUUUAUAAGAUUUAAAAUUUUAAUUUAUAUAAAUAUUUUGUUGGGGUGAUAGAAAAAUUAAAAUAACUUUUUUUAUAAUUUUACAUUAAUAAGUGAAUAAAUGAUCCGUAAUUUACGAUUAUAAGAUAAAAUUACCUUAGGGAUAACAGCGUAAUUUUUUUUUUUAGUUCAAAUAAGAAAAAAAGUUUGCGACCUCGAUGUUGGAUUAAGAUAAAAUUUAAAUGCAAAAGUUUAAAAUUUUUGAUCUGUUCGAUCAUUAAAAUCUUACA